rnacentral:lncRNA from 1 species
GCAAGAUUUGGAUAGAUUGGAGAGUUGUGCAAGGAGGAACCUCAUAGGGUUUAACAAGAAUGAGUGUAGAGUCUUUUAUCUAUGGAGGAAUAACCACAUGCAUCAGAACAGGUUAGGGGAAGACCUGCUGAAGAGGAGUUCUGCAUAGAAGGACCUGGGUAUUCUGGUGGAAAGCAGGUUGGCCUUGGGCCAGAAGUGUGCCCUUGUGGCCAAGAAAGUCAACGAUAUCCUGGCUUCUGUUAGAAAGAGUGUGGUCUGCAGGUCGAGGGAGGUGGAUCUCCCCCUCUACUCUGCCCAGAACUUCGUAAAGAGACACUGGAACUUGGGAAGGAAAAUACAGCAGAGAUGGUGGUACCAGGAACUUGGCUAAGAAGACAGAAGCAACUUCUUGUAUUUAUGUACAGUGGUCUUUCCAACUGAUAGUUACAAAGGGAG